GGCCAUAACAGUGAGAGGCCCGCGUACCGCAAAAAAAAAUUCAGAGGCGUUAGAGGACACCCCAUUUAGAAGCUUUCUUCCCUUAAAUUCAUCCCAGGAAUCUUCUCACUUUUCGUCCAAGUACUCCCACCCCCACCCUACACACACACACACACACACACACACACACACACAGACACAAAUACACACUCCUCCUGGUUCACUGCCACACUGCCUGAUGAUUCUCUCUGAUUGAGAGGCUAAGCAAGGUAACAAGAAGGGAGGAAUGAGUCUGUGAAUCAAGUAUAUUUUCUGAAUUUCCAUCCUGUAUCCCCAGCAUCUGUCUGCUGAUUUAUCAAGAGAACCAGCGAUGGUUUAGGAAUGAUGGACAGUCCUCUGAGGAAGCAGUGCCAGAAGCAUGAUGAGCAGAAAUGCUGAACAAGAUGCUGGCUGGAGGGGAAAUCAAUCUCUGAGGCCGAUUAGUUUGGUGAUGAACUGAAUUUCAGCUGCAUUUAUGAAGAGCCUAGAAUGUGCCAGGAGGUGCUCAUGCUGUAGGGGAAUCUAACGAUAUAAUGACUAAAUUGUACACCUCAAGUUAUUCACAGGGUAAUGAAAGAGAUAAUCAAGUAAUUACAUAAUUACAAAACAUUACAAUUAUUGCGAUAAUUGUGCUAUAAUCAGUUAUCGAGACAAAUCAAGUUCCAUUACAUCUCAGUUUCAGAGGAUAGAGGGGACCGGGUUCAAGGACUUUGCCAUGUCACACGUGUAGGAUAUACAGAAAAUCGGCUGGACUACCUGAAGUGCAUUCCUGUGAGAACCGAUGGUCAUGAUUUCUCAGAGAAGUCCUGACUCAGGCUGGGACUGGUCCACAGAGCAAUGUCAUGACAGGUGGCACUUGAGGCCUGAGGGGCGGCCAGUGGAGGUGAAAGUCAGACUUUCUGUAGGUGAGGAGUAGCCUAGGGUACAGAACACGUGAAGGGAACCUCUCAUUUUGGAAUGCGUCCGCGACAUUACAUAUAAAUGGGAAACAGUGGCGAGAGUGUGUGUCAACCCUCACGGGGCACCGUCCCCAGCUCCACAAAGCUUUGUAUUUCUUGUUAUGCUUCUUUUUUCAGGGAGAUGAAGUGUUGGUAGAGGAGAUGCUUAGACCACAAGCAAGAUAUUGUGCCAAGAUUUCUGUCUUUGACAUAUUUAUUUCUAAAAUGUCAUCAUGACUUGAUAUAUCCUUUCCAUAAAACCUGCAAUAAACUCAGCAUGCCUUUGACAGUGUG